GCUAAAUCACGAAUAUUCGAGUGUUUUCGGGAAGAAUUAAGUUUUUAGUUUUUAAGGACCGCGAAGGAUAAAGAGAAGAGCAGCACCCGUAACUUCCUGACGGGACAACCGUUAACGUUACCCAGUUCUCAGGAAGCUCUGGCUGCUGGCCCUGCCGCCGCCGCCGCUGCCUCUUACUGACAGAGUCUGGACAGCAGGGGAGGGUAGAGCAUUCCUCCGGGGGGCUGGGACACUUCCAGCUGGGCAGCUGAGGUGUGGAGCUCGCCUCGGGAUUUUCAUCUGCAAUGGUGGUUGUCAAACAGCGAAGACAACAACUCCCAUGAUCCCAUGCUUCUUCACAACGUCAUCAAGAUUCUCUUCGAGGGAAAAUUCCCCUUUUCUCCAUUUCCCAUCGGCCAGCUUGUAACUCAAAAAGACACGCUUUAUUACACUUUGGAGGCGUCAGGCAGCAGUGGGCAGCAUGAAG